AGCUUUGUGCAGUGGCACUGUUGUAGCCACUGAGGUUUAUCCAAGGUAUGAUUAUUGCUAAUUGGAUAUAUAAUCAGG
ensembl:snRNA U4 U4 spliceosomal RNA